AUUGAACGCUGGCGGCAGGCCUAACACAUGCAAGUCGAACGAGUGGCAGACGGGUGAGUAAUGUCUGGGAAACUGCCUGAUGGAGGGGGAUAACUACUGGAAACGGUAGCUAAUACCGCAUACCAUCGGAUGUGCCCAGAUGGGAUUAGCUAGUGUGGGGGGUAAAGGCUCACCUAGGCGACGAUCCCUAGCUGGUCUGAGAGGAUGACAAGCCACAAUGGAACUGAGACACGUUCCAGACUCCUCCGGGAGGCAGAAGUGGGGAAUAUUGCACAAUGGGCGCAAGCCUGAUGCAGCCAUGCCGCGUGUAGGAAGAAGGCCUUCGGGUUGUAAAGUACUUUCAGCGGGGAGGCGUUACCCGCAGAAGAAGCACCGGCUAACUCCGUGCCAGCAGCCGCGGUAAUAC
rnacentral:rRNA from 1 species